rnacentral:rRNA from 1 species
GAGUUCUGAUUAUUGAAAGGUGCUUGCAUCUUGAUUUAAUUUUGAACGAGUGGCGGACGGGUGAGUAACACGUGGGUAACCUGCCCUUAAGUGGGGGAUAACAUUUGGAAACAGAUGCUAAUACCGCAUAAAUCCAAGAACCGCAUGGUUCUUGGCUGAAAGAUGGCGUAAGCUAUCGCUUUUGGAUGGACCCGCGGCGUAUUAGCUAGUUGGUGAGGUAACGGCUCACCAAGGCAAUGAUACGUAGCCGAACUGAGAGGUUGAUCGGCCACAUUGGGACUGAGACACGGCCCAAACUCCUACGGGAGGCAGCAGUAGGGAAUCUUCCACAAUGGACGCAAGUCUGAUGGAGCAACGCCGCGUGAGUGAAGAAGGCUUUCGGGUCGUAAAACUCUGUUGUUGGAGAAGAAUGGUCGGCAGAGUAACUGUUGUCGGCGUGACGGUAUCCAACCAGAAAGCCACGGCUAACUACGUGCCAGCAGCCGCGGUAAUACGUAGGUGGCAAGCGUUAUCCGGAUUUAUUGGGCGUAAAGCGAGCGCAGGCGGUUUUUUAAGUCUGAUGUGAAAGCCCUCGGCUUAACCGAGGAAGUGCAUCGGAAACUGGGAAACUUGAGUGCAGAAGAGGACAGUGGAACUCCAUGUGUAGCGGUGAAAUGCGUAGAUAUAUGGAAGAACACCAGUGGCGAAGGCGGCUGUCUGGUCUGUAACUGACGCUGAGGCUCGAAAGCAUGGGUAGCGAACAGGAUUAGAUACCCUGGUAGUCCAUGCCGUAAACGAUGAAUGCUAGGUGUUGGAGGGUUUCCGCCCUUCAGUGCCGCAGCUAACGCAUUAAGCAUUCCGCCUGGGGAGUACGACCGCAAGGUUGAAACUCAAAGGAAUUGACGGGGGCCCGCACAAGCGGUGGAGCAUGUGGUUUAAUUCGAAGCAACGCGAAGAACCUUACCAGGUCUUGACAUCUUUUGAUCACCUGAGAGAUCAGGUUUCCCCUUCGGGGGCAAAAUGACAGGUGGUGUAUGGUUGUCGUCAGCUCGUGUCGUGAGAUGUUGGGUUAAGUCCCGCAACGAGCGCAACCCUUAUGACUAGUUGCCAGCAUUUAGUUGGGCACUCUAGUAAGACUGCCGGUGACAAACCGGAGGAAGGUGGGGAUGACGUCAAAUCAUCAUGCCCCUUAUGACCUGGGCUACACACGUGCUACAAUGGAUGGUACAACGAGUUGCGAGACCGCGAGGUCAAGCUAAUCUCUUAAAGCCAUUCUCAGUUCGGACUGUAGGCUGCAACUCGCCUACACGAAGUCGGAAUCGCUAGUAAUCGCGGAUCAGCACGCCGCGGUGAAUACGUUCCCGGGCCUUGUACACACCGCCCGUCACACCAUGAGAGUUUGUAACACCCGAAGCCGGUGGCGUAAC